UACUGUGUGCAGCCGGGACUUGUUUC
rnacentral:piRNA from 1 species